UUCUAUUGUGUUUUUUUAUUAAUUAACUUACUAAUUUGCCGUACUACUGGUGCUGUUGCUAUGGUAAGUCAGCUAUCAUUUAAUAGUACUCAAAUUUUUUGAAUUUUUUCCAAAAUUCUCUAACAAUAUUCUUAUUUGUGUUACAGUUAAAGCUUAGCAAGCCAAACCCAGAUGACUUGGGACAUGCUGAUUCAGUUUCAGUAGAAGAAAUUGGUGGUGCUAGGGUCACUGUUGUGAAGAAUGAAGAAGGUGGGAACUCCGUAACCACUGUUUUAUUGCGAGGAACCACAUAUAGCAUUUUAGAUGACAUUGAAAGAGCAGUUGAUGAUGAAGUAAAUACUUACAAGGCUAUGUGCAGGGAUAGCCGAAUGGUUCCUGGUGCAGCUGCUACUGAAGUUGAAUUAUCUAAGAGAGUGAAAGAGUAUUCAUUUAAAGAAAUAGGGUAAUUUAUUUGUUUCCACUUUUUUUUUUCCCAGUUUUUGUUUGUCUUGUUCCCCAUAACCUAACUCUAAACACAUUUCCCACUUCCAACUUAGAAAGAAAGAGAAUCUUUGGGAGAAUAAGAGGAAUAGCAUGGGCUUCAUAAAGGACCUCUAACAGCCAUAUUCACAUUCUACUUGUUAAUUUGGAUGCCAUACUUGAUGCCCUGUUGGUUACC